CAUGAAGUUCAUGGCGCCGUCGUAGUGGUUGUUCUUGAAGCCGCACUUGGGCGCGUUGACGGGGAGCAUCAGGUAGUUUGGCCCCAGGCGGUAGCGCUGCGUGUCGGCGUAGGCGAACACCCUGCACUGCAGCAUCUUGUCGUCGGAGUAGUAGAUCCCGGGCACGACGAGGCCGGGGCCGAAGGCGAGCUGCUCGUUCUCGUUGAAGAAGUUGUCGACGUUGCGGUCGAGCACGAGGCGUCCCACGGGCUGGAGGGGGACGAGGUCCUCGGGCCAAGUCUUGGUGUCGUCGAGCGGGUCGAAGUCGAAGCGGUCCUCGUCGUCGGGGUCGAUGACCUGCACGAAGAGCUUCCACUCGGGGAAGUUGCCGGCGUCGAUGGAGUCGUAGAGGUCCUGGGUGGCGUGGCUGUGGUUCUUGCCGCCGACGAGGGUGGCCUCGUCGUCCAUGAGGCAGCUGACGCCGCAGGUGGGGCGCCAGUGGAACUUGACGUAGUGGGCCUUGCCGGCGCGGGAGACGAAGGUGUAGGUGUUGACGCCGAAGCCGUCCAUAUGGCGGUAGUCGGUGGGGAUGCCGACGUCGUCGAAGAGGAAGAAGAAGGUGUGGAGGCUCUCGGGGUGGUGGGAGAGGAAGUCGAAGACGCGCCAGUACUCCUGCACGUGGGACUUGGGGUUGGGCUUGAAGGCGUGGAUGACGUCGGGGAACUUGAUGCCGUCGCGGAUGAAGAAGACGGGGAAGUUGUUGCCGAGCAGGUCCCAGUUGCCCUCGCGCGUGUAGAACUUGACGGCGAACCCGCGCGGGUCGCGGAUCGUCUCGGGCGAGCCGCG
rnacentral:lncRNA from 1 species